rnacentral:rRNA from 1 species
CCAUUUAAAGAAGUAAUACAUACACACCUGAUCUCAUCUGAUCUCAGAAGCUAAGCAGGAUCAGGCCUGGAUAAUACUUGGAUGAGAGAAGAAAUGCAUUUAUUUGGC